rnacentral:rRNA from 1 species
UACGUAGGUGGCAAGCGUUGUCCGGAAUUACUGGGUGUAAAGGGAGCGCAGGCAGGAAGCCAAGUCAGCUGUGAAAACUACGGGCUUAACUUGUAGACUGCAGUUGAAACUGGUUUUCUUGAGUGAAGUAGAGGUUGGCGGAAUUCCGAGUGUAGCGGUGAAAUGCGUAGAUAUUCGGAGGAACACCGGUGGCGAAGGCGGCCAACUGGGCUUUAACUGACGCUGAGGCUCGAAAGUGUGGGGAGCAAACAGG